rnacentral:rRNA from 1 species
GACGAACGCUGGCGGCGUGCCUAAUACAUGCAAGUCGAGCGGACUGAUUAAGAGCUUGCUCUUAUGACGUUGGCGGCGGACGGGUGAGUAACACGUGGGCAACCUGCCCUGUAGAUCGGGAUAACACCGAGAAAUCGGUGCUAAUACCGGGUAAUAUCUGAGAUCACAUGAUCUUAGGUUAAAAGAUGGCUCCGGCUAUCACUACAGGAUGGGCCCGCGGCGCAUUAGCUAGUUGGUAAGGUAAUGGCUUACCAAGGCGACGAUGCGUAGCCGACCUGAGAGGGUGAUCGGCCACACUGGGACUGAGACACGGCCCAGACUCCUACGGGAGGCAGCAGUAGGGAAUCUUCCGCAAUGGACGAAAGUCUGACGGAGCAACGCCGCGUGAGUGAUGAAGGGUUUCGGCUCGUAAAGCUCUGUUGUUAGGGAAGAAACAGUACCGAACGAACUAGGUCGGUACCUUGACGGUACCUAACCAGAAAGCCACGGCUAACUACGUG